UGGGGUAUUUUGGACAAUGGGCGAAAGCCUGAUCCAGCAAUGCCGCGUGCAGGAUGAAGGCCUUCGGGUUGUAAACUGCUUUUGUACGGAACGAAAAAGCUCCUUCUAAUACAGGGGGCCCAUGACGGUACCGUAAGAAUAAGCACCGGCUAACUACGUGCCAGCAGCCGCGGUAAUACGUAGGGUGCGAGCGUUAAUCGGAAUUACUGGGCGUAAAGCGUGCGCAGGCGGUUAUGUAAGACAGAUGAGAAAUCCCCGGGCUCAACCUGGGAACUGCAUUUGUGACUGCAUGGCUAGAGUACGGUAGAGGGGGAUGGAAUUCCGCGUGUAGCAGUGAAAUGCGUAGAUAUGCGGAGGAACACCGAUGGCGAAGGCAAUCCCCUGGACCUGUACGGACGCUCAUGCACGAAAGCGUGGGGAGCAAACAGG
rnacentral:rRNA from 1 species